UCUACAUCAAGGAUCUAAAACGUUGGCCCUGGAACAGUGGCCUCCAGGCCUGAGAUAAUCGAAGCAACUGGAGAAGCUUGAAGGAGUCUGGGUCCCUGAUCCUGACAAAGCCGCUAUUCCACCCCUAAACUGGCUACAUCUGGAUUUUUUUUCUUUGGCAUGAGAAAGGAAUAAACGAUCUUACUAAUUUUUAAAGUUAGUGUUAUUUGAGGUUUAGCAGAAGCUAAUCCUCUCAUUUAAUCAUUUUUCUUAUCCAAUCUUCACAAUUUGAGAGGUUUGAAGAUGAAGAAUACGUUUACAGCUAAUUAAGCAGUGGUGGUUGCAAAACAUUGAAGUAGCUGUGGAGAAACAUUAAUGAAGUCAAUUUCAGAGAGGGAAAGAAUGUAGAGAUUGUGUGCCAGGAUUAAAAUAUUUUUAUUUACUGAUAUGUUAUGCUCAUAAUUCUUUUUUUUUUGUUUGUUUUUUGAGACAGAGUUUCCCUCUUGUUGCCCGGGCUGGAGUGCAAUGGCACGAUCUUAGCUCACUGCAACCGCCACCUCCUGGAUUCAAGCGAUUCUCCUGCCUCAGCCUCCUGAGUAGCUGGGAUUACAGGCAUGCGCCACCAUGCCUGGCUAAUUUUGUAUUUUUAGUAGAGACAGGGUUUCUCCAUGUUGAUCAGGCUGCUCUCCAACUCCCGACCUCAGGUGAUCUGCCCGCCUUGGCCUCUCAAAGUGCUGGGAUUACAGGCGUGAGUCAUCGCGCUCAGCCAUUAUGCUUAUAAUUCCUAUUUUGCCUACAGGUCAUAUCUCAUUCAGACAUUUGGCCUUAAAGAUGCAUUGCCUCAAGGGAGUAAGGAUCAAAAAAUAAAUAUCUAUCAUUCUUAGUUUUUAAGUUCCAAAGCUCCAAAUGGAGGUUUCAGGUGUGAAAAUUUCAUUUGACCUCUUCUCCCUGAAAGUGAUCUGAGUCAGAGAAGAGAGUGAAAGGACAAGGGUGUCUGAGAAAAGGCUGGCUAAGUCCCACAUUGAGGAGAGGACACAAGGCAGACAGUAGAAUGCUUCUGAUAAUUUUGUGAUCUUGGGGUCAAUGGAAUUUGUGUUCUGUUUCCUGUCUGUAGCCCUGAGAGUACCCCAGGCCUUUGAGGACUAGACACUAGAAGACGGAUGGUUGAUGCAAAUGUCCAAGACAGAAGUGGGUUUGGCAUACCUACUGGGUUUCCUGGGCCUUCAGAGUUGUAUGGAAGAACUGAAAAAUUUCCUCAUGUUUCCCAGGACAGCUGUGGAAAUGAAGACAGAACGAGCAAGACAGCAAGAGAGAACUGUUGGGCACUGAAAUCUAGAAGUUAUGAAAAGAGGCUACCUCUGGGGACAGUUAUGUAGAUCAAAUUUAGAGAUUAAUCAUGGCUUAGGACCAGAAAGAACUCUAUGUUUCAAUUAUGAAUUAUGACCAAGUAGGCAGAAGCUAUCAGGCAGUGACCAGAUGACCCCCUCAAGUUUUCUGGGUACAAAGAAAGUGUACUUGAAAUGAAAAUUAAGAACUUGUAAAAAUUGUGUAUAUUUAACUUUUGAAUUAAUGGCCUGAAAAAAUUAUACCAUUAUGUGUGAAUAACUAAUAAAGUAGAAGUUUGAAGAUGCAAGCAUGAAAGGCAAAUAACAGAGCACAUUUCAGAGAAAACAGAGAUUAUAAUUUUAUGGAGAGGGAUAUGUAGUCUUGACCAAAAGGGAUACUUCUUUUUCAGAAACAAGAUCAAAAUUAGAUUUUUUAAAUUGAAAGUUUAAAUCAUAUAAACUUUGCCUAUUAAGUAAGGGGGAAAAAAUCCUCAUCUGUUUAUAAUUUUAAAAAAUGGGAUGCUUUUGGGAAGUUUCUUUUUUUCCUAUGGGUUUCACAUUCCUGCAAGUAGCAUCAGGUAGAUGAAUAUUUAGAACCAAUUUCAAGAAGCAAAAAUUAAGUCUUAGAGAACUAUAUUUAAUUUCAAGUACAGUAGUCUUUAGAGUAUUUGGUACAUUAAAGAACGGAAAAUGUUAGUUCCACUUACUACUUAAAUUUUAAUAGAUUUUAUUUUGAUUAUUAUUUUUUGUUUGUUUCUAAGAGUCAGCGUAACCCAAUCAUUUCACUUUUCCUCAGGAUCACCACAAAUAUCACUCUUUUUCUUUUUCAUUUUUUAGAGCUUAAUUGCUUCGUUUUGUCUGUUUUGA
rnacentral:lncRNA from 1 species